rnacentral:rRNA from 1 species
CAUGUGGUUUAAUUCGAAGCAACGCGAAGAACCUUACCAGGCCUUGACAUGCAGAGAACUUUCCAGAGAUGGAUUGGUGCCUUCGGGAACUCUGACACAGGUGCUGCAUGGCUGUCGUCAGCUCGUGUCGUGAGAUGUUGGGUUAAGUCCCGUAACGAGCGCAACCCUUGUCCUUAGUUACCAGCACGUUAUGGUGGGCACUCUAAGGAGACUGCCGGUGACAAACCGGAGGAAGGUGGGGAUGACGUCAAGUCGUCAUGGCCCUUACGGCCUGGGCUACACACGUGCUACAAUGGUCGGUACAAAGGGUUGCCAAGCCGCGAGGUGGAGCUAAUCCCAUAAAACCGAUCGUAGUCCGGAUCGCAGUCUGCAACUCGACUGCGUGAAGUCGGAAUCGCUAGUAAUCGUGAAUCAGAAUGUCACGGUGAAUACGUUCCCGGGCCUU